rnacentral:lncRNA from 1 species
GAUGCAAACAAUCAAACCGAUACAGCCCUAUCUCCGAAUUUAACAAAAACCCCCAAACAAUGUUUUCAAGUAAUAUUAAAAAUGCUAAUAAACAAUGUGGAAAAUGCUUUUUUUAAUAAUUCACACAACACACUUGAAAACAUUACAUAUAUACAGAAUAUCUUUAAGAAUAUAAUAUUAAAAUUAAGCAAAACUAAUUUUAAGAUGGCGUUUAACUUAUAUCUUUAUUUUAUUAAUUUGUAUUAUAAAUCAUUAGAUCUUUCAAGAUUAACGUACGAUGCAAUGGAAUGCUUUUUUUAUUUAUUUAGAUCCAAUCGAUAUAAAAAAAUUGUAAAUUUUAGUAUGUUAACUACCAUUGCUAAAAAAGUAAAAAAUAAAGUUUACAAACAUCAUAUACAACAGGACAUAACAUAUUAUUAUAAAUGUUUUUUAUUUUCACUACUAUCACAUAUUUGUUUAAAUUAUAGUAUAUGUUUGCGUUUGCUUUAUUGGAAUAAAACAAACCAAAAUUUUCAAGCUUUUAAUUAUUUUAUAUGUUAUCAUAUAGUUAAUAAUUUUUUUAAAAAAAAUGAUCAAAAAAUGGGGGGAGUUUUACAUUUGUUAGAUGAUACUGUUAAUACUGUAGACCUUACUUCUAAUGAUAACGAAAAUGAUAAUAUAGGAUUUAAAAAAUUAAGUGACGAAAGUUUAGAAGACGACUAUCGUUUAAGAUUUCAUCUGGUUGCGGUAUCAAACAAUUUACCACAUGUUGAGAAGUGUAAUGUACAAGAAAUUCAAAAAUACUAUUUAUUUAUGUUUGCAUAUUUUAAUAAAUUCUUUUUCAACAUACUAAUGGAUAAGUUUGAUUCAUUGUUACAUAAUACUGUUAUAAUAAAAAUGUUUUUAAAUACAGAACUGUUAUUAAUAUUUUUGAGAAAGUUGAUGCAAAAUAACUGUUACCCUUAUAAAAUUAUGGAAAUAUAUAAAAAAUGUAUAACAAAUAAAUAUAACAAGUUCAUACAAAAGAAGUUAAUAAGUUUAUUAUUACAUUUGGUUGAUUAUUAUAUUAAUACGUUCGAGAAGGCACGAUCAUGUAAUAAAAGAGAUACGGUCACAGAUAGGGAAAUAACAACUAAAAAAUAUAUAUUAUCUGUUCAGGAUACAAAUGAUGAUGCACCUAAUUCUAUUCCAUAUAUUAAUAAUAAUAAACUUAGUAAACACCAUAAUUUGCACAAAAUUACAAAAGUUGUAGGUAAAAAAGGCAUAUGUAAUAAACAAGAUAAUAAUAAUAUGAUCCUAAAUGAGAGUGUGAGGAAAUGUUCAAACGUUUUAGAUGAAGAAACAGUACAAUACGUUGAAAAAUUAAAUAGUGAUAAUGUACAAAUACAGUCGAAAAAAAAAAAACUAAAAAAAAUUAAUUAUAAAAAUUUAAUAACAAACAAGGAAGCAGUAAAACAAAAAGAAAACACAUUUUUUAAUAAUUUAAAAGGGUUUUAUAAAUAUUAUGAACAUUUGUUUAACAACUGUUUAUUUGAUAAAAAAACAGAAAUAAAGCUUUUAUGUAAAUCAAUUAUUCAGGUGUUAAUAAAUAAAAAAGAUAUAAAGUUAAUUAUUCAAUUAAUAUGUAUUAAAAAUUUUUCAACUAGUUCUUUGUUUAGU